AUUGAACGCUGGCGGCAGGCCUCACACAUGCAAGUCGAACGAGUGGCGGACGGGUGAGUAAUGUCUGGGAAACUGCCUGAUGGAGGGGGAUAAAUACUGGAAACGGUAGCUAAUACCGCAUCCCAUCAGAUGUGCCCAGAUGGGAUUAACUUGUUGGUGUGGUAACGGCUCACCAAGGCGACGAUCCCUAGCUGGUCUGAGAGGAUGACCAUCCACACUGGAACGUAGACACGUUCCAGACGCCUACGGGAGGCAGCAGUGGGGAAUAUUGCACAAUGGGCGAAAGCCUGAUGCAGCCAUGCCGCGUGUAUGAAGAAGGCCUUCGGGUGGGAAAGUACUUUCAGCGGGGAGGCGUUACCCGCAGAAGAAGCACCGGCUAACUCCGUGCCAGCAGCCGCGGUAAUAC
rnacentral:rRNA from 1 species